ACUGCAUCAGACCCCCGGGGAAUGUCAGGAGAAGAGGUGAGAUGGGUGGAAACCAUAGGCACCCACUCAAACCUUGAACUCAGAGGCCUGAGAGCGUCGGUCCUCGGGGGCAUCUGUGCAUCUCAGGGGAAGUCUGUGCUUCCCUAUCAGGAAAGUCAGAGGAAGGAACCAGCCGUGGGGGAACCCAGACCCUUCAUUUCCUCUUCUACUUCCCCCUCACCAGCCUCAUGAUGGGGAAUUCCACCAUCUCCCAACAGCAGAAAACCCAACCAAACCUGCUUCUUUUUCUCCCCCUUAAUAUUUAAAGCCAAGCAGAUCUUGAGUGAUCAGCAUGUAACCUGCCUUUCCUUUUAACCUGUGCUACAAGGAGGUAGUGAUAGACAUGAUGAUGGAAUUUUAUUUAAUAGAACUAAUUCCAAAUGCA
rnacentral:lncRNA from 1 species